CAGAAGUGGGGAGAUGUUACCCCAUUUGGGUUCCAUUCCCACUGAAGCUUUGUACAGGGAAUUCAGGGCAGGGCAGACGUGACAAAAGCUCAACGAGUUGGCCUCGCCACAGCCAACUUUCAAAGAGUGUCAGAGGCUCCUGGUUGUGCCCUCCACCUCCUGACUCCACUGACUGCCAUUUUCCUCUGGUUUCACCAAAGGUGCCAUUCCACUUGGAGGAGUCUAACCUGGAACAAGAUGCUUAAUCUUUAAGAAUUUGAAUCAGAACGCUAUUUCCCUGGAUAGAGGCAGCACUCUUUUGGAGGGAGGAAGAGGGUCGGUGGAACCAUGAAUGAAAGAAGACAAUUUUUCUUUCUCAAGCUAGUCUAUAGCCUCAACUUUCUCCUUAGGAACUGUGAGUGCUUGAUGAACCAGUCAGGGGUCACUGAAGCCUGCAGGCAAGAACGGGAGGACUCACAAAGGGACAAGCUGAUCCUUUCAGGCCUGAGAAAAUGUGUGGGAGGCCUUGGUAUAGAGGGGGAGGGGCCAGUCUAGAUCUGGGUGCUCCUCUCCAGUGGACAGUAGGCAGAGCUCUGAAGACAGAAGCCUCAUUCAGUUACCCUCGAAGGAACACUCCGAUGCAGUGACGAGACUGGCUGGAAAAUCAGCCCGUCUUUGGACACAGAUGUCAACUCUGCUCACCAGGCUGAGGUCACUGCUAAACUCAACAAAAGUGGCUGUGAACGCACGUGCUGGUGACAGCUGGAAGAAGGGACAGAACAGAAAGCCUGACUGUGAAAUAAAAAAGGAACAAGAAACUCAAUGGGCAAUUCCAGAAGUGUGUGUGCAGCUGUGGGUACCACUCCUAUCAGGCUUGUCUCUUUAGGGGCUUAGAGUCAUAAUUUAGGGUUGGGCCCAGGUGAGUGGAGGCAGAUCAAAAGACUUACUUCCCCCCUCAUACUAUCUAUGCUGUUGACUAGACCUGGCACACCCUCAGAAUAAAAGACCAAGGGCCCAUGACUUUUCAGUCUUUAGUCCUGCUAUUUGCCUUUGUGUUGGCUUGAGGAAGAGACUCAUCAGCUGUGCUUGAAAAAAAAAAAAGAAACCUGAAGAUGACUGAACCCUUGAACCAGAGUUUCCAACACUGUGUCGAUACCCUGCACAUAAUAAGAGUGUUCCAAGGUUGUGAUUAUCAUCAGGAAAGUUAAAGAAAUGCAAAACAUUUUCUGAUGAUGCCUUGGGAUCUUGGAGGAGUGCGAGGGAUUGGGUGACCUGGGUGAGGAGAGGGGAAUUCUGAUAAUGGAAAUACCUAUUCACCCAUGAACAUUAUACUGCAGCUAUUAGUGUCAGGCACAAUGCUAGACAGAGCAUCAUGCACAGAAAUUCCUAUCAUCUUGAGGCAUGUGCUCUGUAGUUUUGUAUGAAAAUGUUGAUGUGAUUCUUCC